UACAGAGGUGCCGAGCGUUAGGCGGAAUCACUGGGCUUAAAGCGCGUGUAGGCGGGUCGUUUAGUGUCCGCGUGAAAUCCCACGGCUCAACCGUGGAACUGCCGGGCAUACUGGCGACCUUGAGGCACUUAGGGGCGAGCGGAACAAAUGGUGGAGCGGUGAAAUGCGUAGAUAUCAUUUGGAACGCCGACGGUGAAAACAGCUCGCUGGGAGUGUCCUGACGCUGAGACGCGAAAGCCAGGGGAGCGAACGGG
rnacentral:rRNA from 1 species